AUACCUGAGGCAGGGUUGUUUUUAAAGAAAAAACAGUUUGUUUGGCUCACGGUUCUGCAGGCUAUACAAGAAACGUGGUGCUGGAAUCUGCUGGGCUUCUGAUGAGGGCUAAAGACUGCUUCCAGUCAGGGAAGAAGGCAAAUUGGAGCCAGAGUGUGCACACAGCACACAACCAGAGAGGAGGAAGAUGGGGUGCCAGGUUUUGUUUUGUUUUGUUUUUUUGUUUAACAAUUAGCUCUUGUGGGAACUAAUAAAGUGAAAACUCGCUCAUCUUAGGAAGGGCAUUAAUCUAUUCUUGAGGGAUCUGCCCUGAUGACCCAAACAUCUCCCAUGAGACCCCACCUCCAACAUUGGUGUCAAAUUUCAGGAUGAGGUUUGGAGAGUCAAAUAUCCAAACCCUAGCACCCAUUAUGUGGGAUCAUAGCAAUGACUGAGUUAAUAUAUAUGUAAGAGUACUUCAAACAGUAGUUGAAACAUGGUAAGGAUUUAGGAGGUUGGGUUAUUUUAUGACUAUUAUUAUCCAGGCCACACUAAAAAUAACAUCAAGUUUUUCAAAAGCAGCUAGGAAAAGAUACUGAGGAGUCUGUGAAUAGAUGGAGUGGAGUGAGCUAGUAGAUGGUGAAGGCGCUGCUCACGAAAGAAACAGAGGUGGUGCCCAGGUCUUCAGAAUCUGAGUGACGACACUGGACACAAACUACUCACUGACUGGGGAGCAGCUGAGAAGCCUAGCAAAUCCUGGCUUAUCCCCCGAGAAUGUUCCAGCAGGUAAAACACAGUAACUUUGGAAUAAAGUCAUUGUCAUGCAAAUACCAGGAGGUGAUGGUGUUACUAUUCAUAAUCACAAUGGCUUAGUAAUAAUGAUGAUGAUCAUUCUAAUUGUCCCACCAGAUACAAGACUGUCAUAAAAUCGGUAAUGUGGACAGAAAUACUGAAAGUUGUGUAAAAGAUUAAAUGAGGUUUGUGCUUUCUUUUACGUUUCACGUUCUGACAAGCUGUGUGUCUUGUUUCCAUAAUCCCACAUUACACAAAUAAGAAAGACAUAAUGGUUCAUAACUGGAAAGUUGAUUGAUAUCAUAAUUAAAAUUAUUAAAAUAACUGAUGUUUUAGUAGAUAAGAGUUCAAAAGGAGAUAAUCAAUGUCAAGAGUGCUACGCUUCAAAGUUCUGUUCAUAAAUGCAAAUUUACAUGGGGAAGUUCCAUGAGAAAUUAUUCCUUGAAGGAAUUGAGAUAAUUAAAACCUCGUAAGAAUAAAAAAGAAUGCAUAGGCCAUUGACCUGAGCUAUUGAAAACAAUGUGACUGGCCAGAGCAGUACUUUCCAACCAUUUUUGUCAAUGUUGCUUCAUAUCUGGAGGGGGUACAUUUUUCUGCUUUCUUACCAAUGUCUUCAAUUAAGCAUCAUUCAUCCUUAGUCAUCUCUCUUCCUACUAUUACUUGAUAACAAAUUUUGACCUCCACAAGAAAGCAGGUAUUGUUUUGAAAGUUGUAACAUG
rnacentral:lncRNA from 10 species